rnacentral:misc_RNA from 1 species
CCAUUACAUGCAAGGUUAUAGCUUAUAACUGCAGCAUAUACCCCUUGUCUUUUUGCGCACUUGUCGUUUCUUUGGCGGGCUCUACCCGCCAAAAAACACCUUAAAAACCAUUUUUGAAAUUGCAAUCAGCGUCUGAACAAGUAAUAAUAUUUUACA